UCUUUUUACACUGUCAGGAUUUUUACAAUGUCACUGGUUUUCAGUUUCAACUUUCUGUCACUGUUUUGGCGUAGGGAGGAGGGGCCUGAGGGGAGGGACAACGAGGGCGUGGUUUACAGGUAAUUUGCAUAUGAUUUGCAUACUGUGAGAGACUGCACCUCCACAGGCAUCCUCACAGAUUACCUAUAUCUGCAAUGGCUUCCACAAGUUCACCUGGAACCUCCAAAUCUAAGAUAUACAAGAUCUUUUCUUGGAGGGGGACCAUGACAGAGUGACAGAAGAGUCUGCCAGUGGAGUACUUUUACCACCCAUCCAGUGCCCUCUGAGGCUGCAGACUAUGGCAGAACUGAGGGCAGCCAUUUACCCUAUGACUAACUCCUAGUACAAUGGCGGAUAGCUUUGCAAGACUGCACUUAACUAUGUGAUUCUUCACACAUAAACAUGGCAGGAUAACACAGGAAAACCAUUUUGUUGUUUAAAAUGACACAUACCACUACUACUUUAUAUGUAGUACUGAUUUUAAUCCUUAACAGUUUUUGAAAUGACAUGCAUUUACAGUAUGGACUCCAGCAAAACAGUUAAAUCUGUACCUUUUCAAUGAAUAACAAAUAAAUAUAUUCAAGUAAGAA